rnacentral:rRNA from 1 species
UACAGAGGUCCCAAGCGUUGUUCGGAUUCACUGGGCGUAAAGGGUGCGUAGGCGGUCGGGUAAGUCUGAUGUGAAAUCUCCAAGCCUAACUUGGAAACUGCAUUGGAUACUAUCCGGCUCGAGGAAUGGAGGGGAGACUGGAAUACUUGGUGUAGCAGUGAAAUGCGUAGAUAUCAAGUGGAACACCAGUGGCGAAGGCGGGUCUCUGGACAUUUCCUGACGCUGAGGCACGAAAGCCAGGGGAGCAAACGGG